rnacentral:rRNA from 1 species
AGCAGCCGCGGUAAUCCCAGCUCCAAUAGCGUAUAUUAAAGUUGUUGCAGUUAAAAAGCUCGUAGUUGAAUUUCGGGAUUGACGUGACGGUCGUGCCUUACGGGGUAUGAACUGUCGCCGUUGAUUUCUCACCUUCUGGGGAAGCUCGAUGUCCUUAAUUGGGUGUCUUGCGGAACCAGGACCUUUACCUUGAAAAAAUUAGAGUGCUUAAAGCAGGCAUUAUUGCUCGAAUACAUUAGCAUGGAAUAAUAGAAUAGGACGGCAUGGUUCUAUUUUGUUGGUUUCUAGGAUCACCGUAAUGAUUAAUAGGGAUAGUUGGGGGCAUUAGUAUUCAAUUGUCAGAGGUGAAAUUCUUGGAUUUAUUGAAGACUAACUACUGCGAAAGCAUUUGCCAAGGAUGUUUCAUUAAUCAAGAACGAAAGUUAGGGGAUCGAAGACGAUCAGAUACCG